GUGGCAUGGCCGCAUGGGCGUCGUCGCCCACAAGCUCCCAAGAACACAAGCGCACCGCGGUGGCCGUCGCCGACGAGAGUUCCGUCGUCGGUCGGACGAUCCCAUCGAAUCCAGGAACGUUACUCCUGGUUCAGGAUCCGUCCAUGGGAGACUCCGGAGGAUCUGUCUGCAGCUCGCUCCUCCAUGGCUUCCUCUUCUCCGUCUCCUCCGCCAUGUCACUGGCCUAGGAGAGGCUCCGAAGCUGGAGAUUUUCCCUCUGAUUCGGUCCAGAUGAACGUGGAUUUCAGGUAGAAAUUCCAUCUGCGGUUUGUUCUUCUUGGAGUCGCCGAGGGAGCCUAGGAAAAACGAAAUGCCUUCGCCUUUAGAUUGGGCGGCAGCACCAAUUACGGCCAUAACCAUAUGGCCGUCACCCCGCUCGACCUCGUCACCUGCACUACGCUGGUGAGGCUCUAGAAUUUUUGAUUGCGUGGGGUUUCUAUUGGGGCUAGGGUUCCUUCAAUUGUCUAAUCAGUGUUUAUGCAAUUUGGUGGGAUGACGAGGCGGCGAUUUAAGAUUGGCUGGUGGUAACUACAGCCCGAAUCAAUUCACGGUCUUCGUGCUUUCUUUUGAAUUUCCAGUUAAAUUUGGAUGGAACUUGUAGAUCAAGAUAAAAACCAGUUCGAAUGAAGCAACGUUUGCAUCUUGAGUCUACUCUGUUUGAUCGCGAUGCUUUUUCUGCGCAUAUUUAGGUCUGCAAUAUGAAAUGCCUGGAAACGGAGUAAUUUCUAAAGAAAUUUUUGAGAGGACACAGUUUUCUGAGGGUAUACUCUACUUCUUUCAUCAUUUGAGUCCAGUUAGCAUGAAAAAGCCAGAGCCUUCUUCCUUAAAGAUGCCACUUGGCUGUUCAUCAAAUUCGUGAUUCUUGGCUUCGAGUUGCCAUUAUUGCAAGUUUUAUAUUGGAAUUUGAUGCAAACUUACUGCAUUCUUCGUUUUGCCAAAAUGAUUGACCCAGAAAAGUACAAGAAUAUCUCUGCAUGGUUUACGGUUUGGUUAAAUGAGCAAGGCUUUAGAGGCUUUUUCAAAUUUGAAUUUUAUGAGUUCUUCAAGAAGUUAUACUCGGAGUUUGCUGGACCAGAGCAUGCAUCCAAGUAUAAAACUAUAAAACUGUCAUUUAUCUUGUGGGAUCUGCUUCUGCUGAAAUAAUUGUUAAUGCUGCCCUUUUCCCCAUGGAGGCAGUGAAGAUCAGGAUCCAAACUCAACCAGGGUUUGCUAAAGGUUUGAGAGAUGGACUACCUAAGUUUGUUGCAUCAGAAGCUCUUCCAGGGUACGUUUGCUUUCAGCUAAGAAAUCAUACCUUCAACUGCAGAUUUGUUUGCUGUUGCAUUCAAAUUGCAGACUUCAUAAAGGACUAGUUCCACUAUGAGGACGUCAAAUUCCUUUUGCUAACUAGUUCAUGUUCCUGUUUUCUCAUAAUCUUCUCGAGCUGAUGCAUGCACCAGGAAGCCAAUCUUCACAUGGAGAGGUACAGAAGUCUAAGUCAGCUGAGGCUUUUAAAUGACAAAGCCCACACGUGGCAAUGAUGUAGAGCAGAAGGCCCACAGGUGAGCUUCCCAUAUCCUGCCUCACCUUCUGAUCCUUAAUAGAUUAUGUCAAUUAUUAUGUUCUGCAUCCACUAUUCCUAUUCUUUUAAUAUAUUUUAGUCAAUCCUGCCGGUGGCAAGACCUUUCCAACAAGUAAACUAAAGUUUUUCUUUUAUAAAAAAAUAGAUUUAGUUUUGAUAAAAAAACAGAAAGAUAAAUAAUAACUGUCAAAAGUAAAAAAUAUAACUGCCAAGUUAAAGUAAAAUAAGUUCUUAUAGAUAUUGACAAUGAUAUUUUUAUUUUCUAUUUUUUAUAAGAAUUUUUUGUUUGCCAUCUAUUAUUAAUUAUCAAGAGUUAAUUAUAUGUUUAGGAAACUGGAUUCACUGAAUCUGCAUAUGUAAAAAGGAUAAAAAAUUUAAAUAUUAUUUUUUUUUAUAGAUAUAACGUUUUCAUUUUAAAUUAUAGUUAUUUGUUUAAUGGCGGCAUUAUCAAAAUAAAAAAAAAACAGAAUGCUUAAUCAAUAAAAACUAUACAAUUUUCUUUUCUCCAGAAUAUGCUCUUGUUAUAUGUUGUUUUCUCAGUAAUCAAAUAUUUGAUAGUGUCAAGUUCAUAAAAUCAAUAUUUGAUUUAUUGAUUUGAUUUACCCAGCAUGUUUUUUUUUAAAAUUUGAAGAUUUGAAAACUUAAAUAUUUUUUAUUUCUCAACAUUUCCUUUUUCCUGAAUAUGAAAAUUUGAAAAGUUUUCUUAUCACAAACAGGGCCUUAGCGGCAGUAACUUAUAUUUCAACUGAAAAAAUUGUAUGCUCAAUUCAAGAUCUCAUUUGAUGGUAUGUUUCAUCAUUAAUGUUGACUAAGUUCAGAGUCUAUGUUAUACUCUCAAACCAGUAUGUUACAAUUAGAUUUGACAGACUAGCUAACCAGAAGCCAAUCCAAUCGCGCUUAAUAGUGGUACUCCAGUUGAUUCAACCUCUGGUCCGAGUUUUAAAACGCUUUGUCAUUAUGAAUGCGUUUGGACUUGAGCAGGGAUAUUUCAUGAACGAGUUUCUGCAUCUUCAUUGCUCUCCUUUCUUAUUUAGAUUGUUCUUCUUAUGACUUGAGAAUUAAAAAAUCCACUGUGGCUACGGUUGUCCCUUUGUUUUUAAAUCUAUUUUCUCCUGACAUCAGAGAGCAUCUAGAGUAGAAAACAUAUUUCUAUCAUCUGUUGAAGUAAUGAUUAGCAAAUUAUCUACUUCUGUUUUCCUUGCAAUACAUACCAUGCACUCACUCUACCUAUCAUUUUCAUAAGCAAUUUGCUUUCCAUCCUCGAAUUAUUAGAAAAUAGUGCUUUGUUCUUCUACUUACUAUUUACUGAAAGUAAUGGUCUUCUCGUAUAUCAUAACUUGGAGCAUGAAAAGGAAAAAAAGAGAGGUUGACGACAAUAAUUAUGUAAGUUGGAUGCUCAUCAGUUCAUCCACAUAAAUUGCCGGAUGCUCAGAACUUGGACAUGACUCGGAGGGGACCAUCACCACUGGAUUGGGUUCUUUAAAUCUGACAGGAUCUAUGUGACCUUUGCUACAACGAUAGAUGCUACCAACAUUCACCAUAGAACAUGCAGCAUGAAGAUAAGAAAUCUCUUUUCUAUUCCUUGAAAUUCAAUGCCUAGAUUAUAUCAGUGCGCCUCUAGUUUUUCCAAAAAAAAAAAACAAAAAUCAAUCAAUAAUGCUAUGUUAAUUCUCCCACCUUCUCACCUCAUACCUUAUCCUUGGACCUCGAUUCCUUUCCCUGUCUCGCCAAAAAUUCAUUGCCAUGAAAACAACAGGAGGUAUGAUAGAGUAGCUUGUCCAAACCAACAACAUACUCCUCGUCGGCUACCCCGUCCCUCUGUUUUUCUUGGUACUUGUUGUAGUGGUCCAUCUCAAUUAUUAACUAUAUGAUCUUCUCCCAUCCUCUCUUUUAUUUAGCCGUGUGCAGUCGCUUUUUUCGACUGGACCAAUCAUAUUUGAAUGUGGUUUAUCUGUAAUCAGUCGGCAGUUUUGGUCGGUCCGUUUUGAAAACACUACUUCUCCCGAAGCUUCAUGGAUUUAGACUUUUAGUGCUCAUCAGUAAUCUUAAUGAGUUAAACUGCAAAAUUUUUACCUGGAUGAACUGAUCGAUCUGGUGGUAAAAACACUGCUGCUAGCAAAACUCCAUGCUUUUACAGUUAGGAACUGCAUUUUAUAUCGUUUGUUUGCGGAGAAGCUCGAGAUCAGUGGAGGACCACUGAGCCAUCAUGUCAUUGCUUCUUUCAAGUAGGAGCCACCAGAUUACAUGUUUGAAUUAAUUUGUGGAAAAGCAAAAGAAUAUCUCCAUAGGAAAAUGAUAUGUAAAAACUUUUACUCUUCUGUUUGGAUAAAUAGAAACUAAUAUAGCAUUU